UACGGGGGGAGCAAGCGUUGUUCGGAUUUACUGGGCGUAAAGAGCGCGCAGGCGGUCGAUCAAGUCGGAUGUGAAAGCCCCCGGCUCAACUGGGGAGGGUCAUUCGAUACUGGUCGACUCGAAGGCAGGAGAGGGAAGCGGAAUUCCCGGUGUAGUGGUGAAAUGCGUAGAUAUCGGGAGGAACACCAGUGGCGAAGGCGGCUUCCUGGCCUGUUCUUGACGCUGAGGCGCGAAAGCUAGGGGAGCAAACGGG
rnacentral:rRNA from 1 species